rnacentral:lncRNA from 1 species
AUGUCUCUCUUCUGCAGGAACCAGGAGAGGGGCUGCUACUUACCCCAGAUUUGGCAGUGUGUGUGUGUGUGUGUGUGUGUGUGUGUGUGUGUGUGUGUGUUGGGACAGAGCCGGGUGUCCACUUCCCUCUGCACACGUCUUGGAAUCGCUCCGAGCCUGCUACUUUUUGCAGUACCCCAGCGGCUGGAAGGGGCCAGAACAGCCCUCCUGGUUUCCAGGAGUUUCUACUUGCUAGAAACGUGGCCUUGGGUGGUCACAGGGCAACUAUGGAGUUACAAGAGUAAAGAAUGGCCCAGCGUGGUGGCACAUCCUUGGAAUCCCAGCACUCGAGAGGCCGAGGCAGGAGAAUAGCCAAGAAUCUGAGCCGGCCUCUGCUACGAAGUGAGUUCAAGGCCAGCCUGAAUUAUACGGUGAGACGCUGUUCCAAAAAAAGCAAACGAAAAAAAAGUCAGGGAUUUGGUUCAGCAGUACGGCACCUGUCCUGCAAGUGUGAGGUCCUGUGUUUGAUCCCCAGUGCCAAAAAACAAAUGAACACCAAAAGACAAAAAACCCACAAAAAUGAGUAAGGAAAGACUCUGUGCCUCUAAACUGAUGUGGAAACUGGAUGUGAAGCCACAGCCCAAUGGAGAAGUAAGUCUGUCUUACUUCCUAAGCUUGGCUGCCUCGCUCCGCCAGACACUUUCAGGUUUUCCUUCCUUCUCAAAACAGGGAAACUACCCUGUCCUGAAGCUGAAGUGCUCUGUUCCGGUUUCCUGGACUGAUGCUGUUUUCUUUAAUGGGUUAGAGCAAAGGCUGUUGCAGACCUGGGCCAGUCCCCUACAGAGUUAACUCCAGGACACGGUAAAAUGAGAGCAACAGGGACGAUGUAGGGAGUUUGCAUAAAGC